GAUGAACGCUGGCGGUAUGCCUAACACAUGCAAGUCGUACGAGAGUUUUUAACUCUAGUGGCGGACGGGUGAGUAACACGUGAGAAUUUGCCUUUAGGAGGGGGAUAACAAUUGGAAACGAAUGCUAAUACCCCAUAUGCUUUUGAGUGAAAUGGAUUUUAUCCGCCUAGAGAGAAGCUCGCGGCUGAUUAGCUUGUUGGUAAGGUAAGAGCUUACCAAGGCGACGAUCAGUAUCUGGUUUGAGAGGACGAUCAGACACACUGGAACUGAGACACGGUCCAGACUCCUACGGGAGGCAGCAGUGGGGAAUUUUCCGCAAUGGGCGAAAGCCUGACGGAGCAAUACCGCGUGAGGGAAGAAUGCCUAUGGGUUGUAAACCUCUUUUUCUAGGGUAGGAAGUAAAAUGACGUGUACCUGAAGAAUAAGCAUCGGCUAACUCCGUG
rnacentral:rRNA from 1 species